UGACUGUAUAGCUUAGUGGUAAAGCACUGCUCUCAUAAGGCAGGGACCCCGAGUUCAAAUCUCGGUACAGUCAU
rnacentral:tRNA from 1 species